UACCAGCACCCCGAGUGGUCGGGACGUUUAUUGGGCCUAAAGCAUCCGUAGCCGGUUCUACAAGUCUUCCGUUAAAUCCAGCUGCUUAACAGAUGGGCUGCGGAAGAUACUAUGGAGCUAGGAGGCGGGAGAGGCAAGCGGUACUCGAUGGGUAGGGGUAAAAUCCGUUGAUCCAUUGAAGACCACCAGUGGCGAAGGCGGCUUGCCAGAACGCGCUCGACGGUGAGGGAUGAAAGCUGGGGGAGCAACGG
rnacentral:rRNA from 1 species